ACAUUGAUAGUUCAGUGGUAGAAUUCUUGCCUUCCAUGCAGGACACCCAGGUUCAUUUCCUUGUCAAUGUG
rnacentral:tRNA from 1 species